GUGCUUACUGUGGCAGCACAUAUACUAAAAUUGGAAUGAUACAGAGAUUAGCAUGGCCCCUGCACAAGGAUGACACACGAACAUGUGAAGUGGUUCAUGUCUUU
rnacentral:snRNA from 1 species